UAUUUUCUGAUUAUCUUGACCUGCUUUUUGUCAAACGUUAAACUAUAGAUAAAGAUAAAACUUUACUGAAUUACUAUAAAACUACUUGAGUAAUGGGUGAGAUGACGAUUAGAUAAAGAGAAAACUUUGCUAAAUUAGAAUAAAACUACAUUACGUUAUGAGAGAGAGAUACAACUGCAUUUGCACCUGGACGGGUCAGUUCGGCCCUCAACUGCUUGGGAGUUGGCACAAGAAAAAGGGAUCAAAAUCCCAGGCGUAACAAACUUUGAAGAGUUUUAAGAAAGCUUGCAUAGUGUCAAAUCCAAGCAACCUGUGGGGAUUUCUGCA